UACGUAUGGGGCAAGCGUUGUUCGGAUUUAUUGGGCGUAAAGGGCACGCAGGCGGAUUGACAAGUUGGUUGUUUAACCUUCCGGCUCAACUUGAAGGCUGCUUCCAAAACUGUCAGUCUAGAAUACCAGAGGGGAAGGCGGAAUUCACGGUGUAGCGGUGGAAUGCGUAGAUAUAGAGAGGAACACCAGUGGCGAAGGCGGCCAUCUGGCUGGUUACUGACGCUCAGGUGCGAAAGCGUGGGGAGCAAACAGG
rnacentral:rRNA from 1 species